GACAGAGGGGGCAAACGUUGUUCGGAAUUACUGGGCGUAAAGCGAGUGUAGGCGGUUUGGUAAGUCUGAUGUGAAAGCCCCGGGCUCAACCUAGGAAGUGCAAUCGAAACUGCCAAGCUAGAGUAUCGGAGAGGUUGGUGGAAUUCUCGGUGUAGAGGUGAAAUUCGUAGAUAUCGAGAGCAACACCGGUGGCGAACGCGGCCAACUGGACGUAUCCCGACGCUGAGACUCGAAAGCGUGGGGAGCAAACAGG
rnacentral:rRNA from 1 species